rnacentral:rRNA from 1 species
CCUACGGGGGGCUGCAGUGAGGAAUAUUGGUCAAUGGGCGCGAGCCUGAACCAGCCAAGUAGCGUGAAGGAUGACUGCCCUACGGGUUGUAAACUUCUUUUAUAAAGGAAUAAAGUGAGGCACGUGUGCCUUUUUGUAUGUACUUUAUGAAUAAGGAUCGGCUAACUCCGUGCCAGCAGCCGCGGUAAUACGGAGGAUCCGAGCGUUAUCCGGAUUUAUUGGGUUUAAAGGGUGCGCAGGCGGCGUGUCAAGUCAGCGGUAAAAUGUCGGGGCUCAACCCCGGCCGGCCGUUGAAACUGGCGUGAUCGAGUUGGAGAGAAGUAUGCGGAAUUCGUGGUGUAGCGGUGAAAUGCAUAGAUAUCACGAAGAACCCCGAUUGCGAAGGCAGCAUACCGGCUCCACACUGACGCUGAGGCACGAAAGCGUGGGUAUCGAACAGGAUUAGAUACCCCAGUAGUC